CCCCCAGGUGGUUGAGGGCAUCCGGCUGCUCCGCAUGUCGCUCCAGUACCUGUUCGAAGCAGGCCCGGGCGGCC
rnacentral:tRNA from 1 species